rnacentral:rRNA from 1 species
AUUGAACGCUGGCGGCAGGCCUAACACAUGCAAGUCGAGCGAGCGGCGGGCGGGUGAGUAAUGUAUGGGGACUGCCCGCUGGAGGGGGAUAACUACUGGACACGGUAGCUAAUACCGCAUACUAUCGGAUAACCCAUAUGGGAUUAGCUAGUAGGUGAGGUAAUGUGUCACCUAGGCGACGAUCCCUAGCUGGUCUGAGAGGAUGAUCAGCCACACGGGGACUGAGACACGGCCCAGACUCCUACGGAGGGAGCAGAGGGGAAUAUUGGACAAUGGGCGAAAGCCUUAUGCAGCCAUGCAGCGUGUAUGAAGAAGGCCCUAGGGUUGUAAAGUACUUUCAGUCGGGAGGCGUUACCGACAGAAGAAGCACCGGCUAACUCCGUGCCAGCCGCCGCGGUAAUAC